rnacentral:rRNA from 1 species
AACGAACGCUGGCGGCAUGCCUAACACAUGCAAGUCGAACGAGACCUUCGGGUCUAGUGGCGCACGGGUGCGUAACGCGUGGGAACCUGCCCUUAGGUUCGGAAUACCUCCCCGAAAGGGGUGCUAAUGCCGGAUAAUGUCUUAGGACCAAAGAUUUAUCGCCUUUGGAUGGGCCCGCGUUGGAUUAGCUAGUUGGUAGGGUAAAAGCCUACCAAGGCGACGAUCCAUAGCUGGUCUGAGAGGCUGAUCAGCCACACUGGGACUAAGACACGGCCCAGACUCCUACGGGAGGCAGCAGUGGGUAAUAUUGGACAAUGGGCGAAAGCCUGAUCCAGCAAUGCCGCGUGAGUGAUGAAGGCCUUAGGGUUGUAAAGCUCUUUUACCCGGGAUGAUAAUGACAGUACCGGGAGAAUAAGCUCCGGCUAACUCCGUG